AGCGCAAGNUUACGUUACUUUGCGUUGACUGUUGACUUCUUAGAGGGACUAUGAGAUGUUUAAUCCAUGGAAGUUUGAGGCAAUAACAGGUCUGUGAUGCCCUUACAUGUUCUGGGCCGCACGCGCGCUACACUGAUGAAGGCAACGAGUAAUUCACCUUGCGCCGGAAGGUCUGGGUAAUCUUUUGAAACUUCAUCGUGCUGGGGAUAGAGCAUUGCAUUUAUUGCUCUUCAACGAGGAAUUCCUAUUAAGCGUGAGUCAUCACCUCGCGUUGAUUACGUCCCUGCCCUUUGUACACACCGCCCGUCGCUACUACCAUUGGAAUGAGCUAGGUAAAA
rnacentral:rRNA from 1 species